rnacentral:rRNA from 1 species
GGGCCCGCACAAGCGGUGGAGUAUGUGGUUUAAUUCGAUGCAACGCGAAGAACCUUACCAGGGUUUGACAUCCUGCGAAUCUCUUGGAAACAGGAGAGUGCCUUCGGGAACGCAGUGACAGGUGGUGCAUGGCUGUCGUCAGCUCGUGUCGUGAGAUGUUGGGUUAAGUCCCGCAACGAGCGCAACCCACGUCUUUAGUUGCCAGCAUUUAGUUGGGCACUCUAGAGAGACUGCCGGUGAUAAACCGGAGGAAGGUGUGGAUGACGUCAAGUCAUCAUGCCCCUUACAUCCUGGGCUACACACGUACUACAAUGGCGAUGACAGUGGGCAGCGACCCCGCAAGGGUGAG